CUCCCCCUCGGCGCGGAUGACACCAGGACCUCCUUAAGUUGCGUCGCGCCACAGCUGUCUGCGAACACUGAGCUGCCUGGCGCCGUCUUGAUACUUUCAGAAAGAAUGCAUUCCCUGUAAAAAAAAAAAAAAAAUUCUGAGAGUGAGAAAGGGAGAGAGAAAGGAAGAGAGAAAGAGAGAGAGGGAGCGAGUGAGACAGAGCGAGCUACGCAAUCUUACCGAGCAGGUCGCACGCCGCCUCCUCUCGCCACCAGGUGACCCAAGGAGCCGCAGUCUCGGGAGCGCUGAGGAAGCCCGGGGCAGGGCAGCCACACUUCCACAAUUCCUGCGGUCUCGCUAUCCAUUUGCAAUUUGGUCCCCUUUUAUCCCGCCGUGUAUAGCUUUAUUUUUUUAUUUUUUUUUCCUUCCCCUUCUUUUUGCCAAACUAUCCCUCCAAAAAAAAAAAAAAAAUCCCCACCCCCCCUC